GUGGGGAAUAUUGGACAAUGGGCGCAAGCCUGAUCCAGCCAUGCCGCGUGCAGGAAGACGCAUCUAUGGUGUGUAAACUGCUUUUGUACGGGAAGAAACACUCCCUCGUGAGGGAGCUUGACGGUACCGUAAGAAUAAGGAUCGGCUAACUCCGUGCCAGCAGCCGCGGUAAUACGGAGGAUCCAAGCGUUAUCCGGAAUCAUUGGGUUUAAAGGGUCCGUAGGCGGUUUAAUAAGUCAGUGGUGAAAGCCCAUCGCUCAACGAUGGAACGGCCAUUGAUACUGUUAGACUUGAAUUACAAGGAAGUAACUAGAAUAUGUAGUGUAGCGGUGAAAUGCUUAGAUAUUACAUGGAAUACCAAUUGCGAAGGCAGGUUACUACUUGUGGAUUGACGCUGAUGGACGAAAGCGUGGGGAGCGAACAGGAUUAGAAACCCGAGUAGUCC
rnacentral:rRNA from 1 species